rnacentral:rRNA from 1 species
UACAGAGGAGCCAAGCGUUGUCCGGAUUGACUGGGCGUAAAGCGCACGCAGGCGGAUGCGCGCGUGGGGUGUGAAAUCUGGCCGCUUAACGGCCAGGCGCCAUCCCAUACGGCGCGUCUGGAGUGAUGCAGAGGUCGAUGGAAUUGCCGGUGUAGUGGUGAAAUGCGUAGAGAUCGGCAGGAACACCCAGGGGGAAACCAGUCGACUGGGCAUCUACUGACGCUGAGGUGCGAGAGCGUGGGGAGCGAACC